GGUGCAUAAGUGCAGUACCACAGGGAAUAAUAUUGCUGUCUGUUUUCUCCUUACAGUGUCAGCCGCCGUUCAGUUGCAGCAGCCUUACACAAUAAUAACCACUUUCCACCCAAAAGUCGAAGCCCUGCACCGGACGACGAAGUGCUUGCCGAUAUUGACGGCAGUUUUAACCAUCUUAACGAUAAAGUACAAUCCCUGGAGAAUCAGAUUUUACAGUUAAACGAAGAGAAAAAGAACUCCUUUUCAUUACAGACUAAGUUUAAAGACGACAACAGCAUCCUCAUCGAAAGUAUUGUGGACAGGUAAGACUUAUGUAGAAAGCACCUGUUGAUUAUGUACUGUGUAGCGGGUUCUUGUAGUGCUGUGUUGAUAUUGUGUUUAGCGGUGUUUGGGUUGGAUGGUAAAUAUUUUGUCAUGUUCAUUAAUUUCUCGGAAGUUAUUAGAGUGUGUAGACCUAGAUUUGAUUUUUAAAGAUAAAUUAUUAAA